GGUCUUAAAUUUACUUAAAUUGCAAAUUUAAGGUUGCUAAAAUAAUAAGCUAAGGCUU
rnacentral:tRNA from 1 species